UUCAUUAUACUAUGUCAAUCUAGGCUUUCCCACUUCAUUAUACUAUGUUCGGCUAAGCUCGUCCGGUUCAGUUCAUUAUACUAUGUCAAUCUAGGCUUUCCCACUUCAUUAUACUAUGUUCGGCUAAGCUCGUCCGGUUCAGUUCAUUAUACUAUGUCAAUCUAGGCUUUCCCACUUCAUUAUACUAUAUUCGGCUAAGCUCGUCCGGUUCAGUUCAUUAUACUAUGUCAAUCUAGGCUUUCCCACUUCAUUAUACUAUAUUCGGCUAAGCUCGUCCGGUUCAGUUCAUUAUACUAUGUCAAUCUAGGCUUUCCCACUUCAUUAUACUAUAUUCGGCUAAGCUCGUCCGGUUCAGUUCAUUAUACUAUGUCAAUCUAGGCUUUCCCACUUCACUAUACUAUAUUCGGCUAAGCUCGUCCGGUUCAGUUCAUUAUACUAUGUCAAUCUAGGCUUUCCCUCUUCAUUAUACUAUAUUCGGCUAUGGUCGUCCGGUUCAGUUUAUUAUACUAUGUUAAUCUAGGCUCUCCCACUUCAAUUCAUUGUACUACAUUCUGAUAAGCUCAUCCGUUUUAGUUCAUUAUACUAUGUUAAGCUAGGCUCUCCCACUUCAGUUCAUUAUACAGUAACAUGACAGGCUGGUCUACUCCUGUUCAGUGCAUUAUAUUAUAUCAAACUAGGCUUUUAUGAUUAUUUGUCAGCGUCCGAGGAUGGCGGGACAAUUGUUGAAUUUAAAUUCUUAUCUCUAGGGUGAUAAGCUGACACGAUAAUCACUCAGUUGAAAAGCUGUUUAUUACAGAACAUAUUCUCAGAAGGAGUAAUCAAAUCAGAUUUCGUAGUCUUUUUAGUGAAAGCACUUAUAAUGUAGCACUUAUGAUGGAGUCCUGUGAUGGUUAAAAAAAGGAAAUAGUCAUGUAUGAAGUAUAUUGUUCCAAUGUUUGUGAUUAGGAGGAUCAGAGAAUAAGCAAACUGGAAACUGACACUUAUGUAAGAUAGUUUACCACUUUUAGUUCGAAAGAAUUAUAUUUUUGCCGCCGUAGCUUACCUCCUUGUUGUUCUGGUGAAGGAAUAUUACAUAUACGACUUAAGAAGCCACUAUUUUCAAAAGGUGACAACUUCCGGCGCUUAUAACCUGGUUCUGUAUACGGGAUAGAGAGGAAAACUAGCUUCCUCCGGAUGUGUGUGUCACACACAGUAGACCACCGUUUGCUAAUAAAUGUCUCAACUUAACGUCAACGGUUCUCUAGAUAAUGUGCGUGCAGACACACACAAUCACAUACUAAGAUCUAUUUAUACCGUUCCGAUGUACUAUUAAUAUUUAUUAUUGUUUUAAUAUCUAAGAUGAAAUGCAUGCCUACUUUGCUGGCUACACAGUUCGAUGUCUGCUUAGUCCUGUGUUAUAAAUUCUUCAAAGGUAUGACAACCUACAAUAACCAGUCUUGUUCGUUAUAUCAUUCUAUUUUCUUGGUUCAGUCUUGGAGUAAAUAUGUACAUUGUUAUAUACAUAAUCAGUAUCGUACCUAUCUUCAGUGCAAAACAGAGCCACUGUCCCCUCGCUGGGUUUCUGCCAUAUUGCACUUUGUGUCACUGCGCUCGUUUGUUUCCUCAAAUUGUAGUCACAGAGUCAUUGCAGUCACUUUUUUGGUUUCUUCAGCUACUGUACAUAUAUAUCGUCCCAUAAUGUCAAAGGUAAUUUUCAACAUCUAAAACAAACUAAAUUGUUCGAAUUCAUUCAUCACUGCUGCCAUCUAUAGCAAAAGUUAAAUAACAUUAUUGUCAUAUCUAUUUGCAGCACAAUAUAAAAAUGGUAUUUGUUCAACAAAAUAUUAAAGUCUGAAAUAAAAUAUUGUAUAAUAAGUAUUAUUUCAGAAUAAAAAUAUGUCUAUGUUUUAUUCUCAUAUCUAAGCAAUGGCCAAGCCAAAUUUCGUUUAAAUCCGUUCACUAGAUUCUGUGUGAUGGAUUAUCAAGCAUCUGAACACUCAAACAUAGAAAUAUCCACACUUUCAAACAUUAUUUUUCUCACAAUUCCAUUUGUUUAACAUUUUCCUGUUUGCGGUCAAGUCAAGUCACUGUGACUGUGGGGGGGUGGAUCCCCCACAUCUUUCACGGCAGAGGCCUUGAGAGAUGUGGGGGAUCCACCACCCCCCCCCCCCACAGUCAACGACUUGACUUGACGCACAAACAGGAAAAUGUUUACACAAACAGACAAUUAUAAAAAUAUAAAUUACAAUUCACACCGUAGUGCUACUAUAUUAUAUUAUCUUCUGUAUAAGUUAUUAUAAACGUUUUUGUGUAGUAUAUAUCAAAUUAUUUUUAAUCCUUACAUAUCCAGUAUUUUAAGCAUCAUUUUAAGUAAAUCGAUGUUUAAAUUCAAUUAAUAAUUUCAGUGCAAUGCUCGGAUGCGUUGACGUGAUGGGAAACAAGUGCCAAACAUACACCUAUAACAAAAUCCUCUUUAAUAAAAUAUUAUGAUGUAUAAGAGUAAAAGUACAUUUAAAAGACUAUAAUCUAUACAUAAGCUUCCAAACUUUAAUCUGACGAUAGAACAAGGCCAAGUAAUUUGAAAUCUAAUACAAUAAUACAUUACACAAUACACAAUAUGUAAUAUGCAGUAUUCUUAUCGAUAGUUAAAAACAUUAUUUUGUAUAAUCGCUUUCUUCUUGAUUUAAAUUUAUGUCGGUCAAGUACGAUUUACUAGUACUAAGCUCGUCCGGUUCAGUUCAUUAUACUAUGUCAAUCUAGGCUUUCCCACUUCAUUAUACUAUAUUCGGCUAAGCUCGUCCGGUUCAGUUCAUUAUACUAUGUCAAUCUAGGCUUUCCCUCUUCAUUAUACUAUAUUCGGCUAUGGUCGUCCGGUUCAGUUUAUUAUACUAUGUUAAUCUAGGCUCUCCCACUUCAAUUCAUUGUACUACAUUCUGAUAAGCUCAUCCGUUUUAGUUCAUUAUACUAUGUUAAGCUAGGCUCUCCCACUUCAGUUCAUUAUACAGUAACAUGACAGGCUGGUCUACUCCUGUUCAGUGCAUUAUAUUAUAUCAAACUAGGCUUUUAUGAUUAUUUGUCAGCGUCCGAGGAUGGCGGGACAAUUGUUGAAUUUAAAUUCUUAUCUCUAGGGUGAUAAGCUGACACGAUAAUCACUCAGUUGAAAAGCUGUUUAUUACAGAACAUAUUCUCAGAAGGAGUAAUCAAAUCAGAUUUCGUAGUCUUUUUAGUGAAAGCACUUAUAAUGUAGCACUUAUGAUGGAGUCCUGUGAUGGUUAAAAAAAAGGAAAUAGUCAUGUAUGAAGUAUAUUGUUCCAAUGUUUGUGAUUAGGAGGAUCAGAGAAUAAGCAAACUGGAAACUGACACUUAUGUAAGAUAGUUUACCACUUUUAGUUCGAAAGAAUUAUAUUUUUGCCGCCGUAGCUUACCUCCUUGUUGUUCUGGUGAAGGAAUAUUACAUAUACGACUUAAGAAGCCACUAUUUUCAAAAGGUGACAACUUCCGGCGCUUAUAACCUGGUUCUGUAUACGGGAUAGAGAGGAAAACUAGCUUCCUCCGGAUGUGUGUGUCACACACAGUAGACCACCGUUUGCUAAUAAAUGUCUCAACUUAACGUCAACGGUUCUCUAGAUAAUGUGCGUGCAGACACACACAAUCACAUACUAAGAUCUAUUUAUACCGUUCCGAUGUACUAUUAAUAUUUAUUAUUGUUUUAAUAUCUAAGAUGAAAUGCAUGCCUACUUUGCUGGCUACACAGUUCGAUGUCUGCUUAGUCCUGUGUUAUAAAUUCUUCAAAGGUAUGACAACCUACAAUAACCAGUCUUGUUCGUUAUAUCAUUCUAUUUUCUUGGUUCAGUCUUGGAGUAAAUAUGUACAUUGUUAUAUACAUAAUCAGUAUCGUACCUAUCUUCAGUGCAAAACAGAGCCACUGUCCCCUCGCUGGGUUUCUGCCAUAUUGCACUUUGUGUCACUGCGCUCGUUUGUUUCCUCAAAUUGUAGUCACAGAGUCAUUGCAGUCACUUUUUUGGUUUCUUCAGCUACUGUACAUAUAUAUCGUCCCAUAAUGUCAAAGGUAAUUUUCAACAUCUAAAACAAACUAAAUUGUUCGAAUUCAUUCAUCACUGCUGCCAUCUAUAGCAAAAGUUAAAUAACAUUAUUGUCAUAUCUAUUUGCAGCACAAUAUAAAAAUGGUAUUUGUUCAACAAAAUAUUAAAGUCUGAAAUAAAAUAUUGUAUAAUAAGUAUUAUUUCAGAAUAAAAAUAUGUCUAUGUUUUAUUCUCAUAUCUAAGCAAUGGCCAAGCCAAAUUUCGUUUAAAUCCGUUCACUAGAUUCUGUGUGAUGGAUUAUCAAGCAUCUGAACACUCAAACAUAGAAAUAUCCACACUUUCAAACAUUAUUUUUCUCACAAUUCCAUUUGUUUAACAUUUUCCUGUUUGCGGUCAAGUCAAGUCACUGUGACUGUGGGGGGGUGGAUCCCCCACAUCUUUCACGGCAGAGGCCUUGAGAGAUGUGGGGGAUCCACCACCACCCCCCCCCCACAGUCAACGACUUGACUUGACGCACAAACAGGAAAAUGUUUACACAAACAGACAAUUAUAAAAAUAUAAAUUACAAUUCACACCGUAGUGCUACUAUAUUAUAUUAUCUUCUGUAUAAGUUAUUAUAAACGUUUUUGUGUAGUAUAUAUCAAAUUAUUUUUAAUCCUUACAUAUCCAGUAUUUUAAGCAUCAUUUUAAGUAAAUCGAUGUUUAAAUUCAAUUAAUAAUUUCAGUGCAAUGCUCGGAUGCGUUGACGUGAUGGGAAACAAGUGCCAAACAUACACCUAUAACAAAAUCCUCUUUAAUAAAAUAUUAUGAUGUAUAAGAGUAAAAGUACAUUUAAAAGACUAUAAUCUAUACAUAAGCUUCCAAACUUUAAUCUGACGAUAGAACAAGGCCAAGUAAUUUGAAAUCUAAUACAAUAAUACAUUACACAAUACACAAUAUGUAAUAUGCAGUAUUCUUAUCGAUAGUUAAAAACAUUAUUUUGUAUAAUCGCUUUCUUCUUGAUUUAAAUUUAUGUCGGUCAAGUACGAUUUACUAGUACUAAGCUCGUCCGGUUCAGUUCAUUAUACUAUGUCAAUCUAGGCUUUCCCACUUCAUUAUACUAUAUUCGGCUAAGCUCGUCCGGUUCAGUUCAUUAUACUAUGUCAAUCUAGGCUUUCCCUCUUCAUUAUACUAUAUUCGGCUAUGGUCGUCCGGUUCAGUUUAUUAUACUAUGUUAAUCUAGGCUCUCCCACUUCAAUUCAUUGUACUACAUUCUGAUAAGCUCAUCCGUUUUAGUUCAUUAUACUAUGUUAAGCUAGGCUCUCCCACUUCAGUUCAUUAUACAGUAACAUGACAGGCUGGUCUACUCCUGUUCAGUGCAUUAUAUUAUAUCAAACUAGGCUUUUAUGAUUAUUUGUCAGCGUCCGAGGAUGGCGGGACAAUUGUUGAAUUUAAAUUCUUAUCUCUAGGGUGAUAAGCUGACACGAUAAUCACUCAGUUGAAAAGCUGUUUAUUACAGAACAUAUUCUCAGAAGGAGUAAUCAAAUCAGAUUUCGUAGUCUUUUUAGUGAAAGCACUUAUAAUGUAGCACUUAUGAUGGAGUCCUGUGAUGGUUAAAAAGAGGAAAUAGUCAUGUAUGAAGUAUAUUGUUCCAAUGUUUGUGAUUAGGAGGAUCAGAGAAUAAGCAAACUGGAAACUGACACUUAUGUAAGAUAGUUUACCACUUUUAGUUCGAAAGAAUUAUAUUUUUGCCGCCGUAGCUUACCUCCUUGUUGUUCUGGUGAAGGAAUAUUACAUAUACGACUUAAGAAGCCACUAUUUUCAAAAGGUGACAACUUCCGGCGCUUAUAACCUGGUUCUGUAUACGGGAUAGAGAGGAAAACUAGCUUCCUCCGGAUGUGUGUGUCACACACAGUAGACCACCGUUUGCUAAUAAAUGUCUCAACUUAACGUCAACGGUUCUCUAGAUAAUGUGCGUGCAGACACACACAAUCACAUACUAAGAUCUAUUUAUACCGUUCCGAUGUACUAUUAAUAUUUAUUAUUGUUUUAAUAUCUAAGAUGAAAUGCAUGCCUACUUUGCUGGCUACACAGUUCGAUGUCUGCUUAGUCCUGUGUUAUAAAUUCUUCAAAGGUAUGACAACCUACAAUAACCAGUCUUGUUCGUUAUAUCAUUCUAUUUUCUUGGUUCAGUCUUGGAGUAAAUAUGUACAUUGUUAUAUACAUAAUCAGUAUCGUACCUAUCUUCAGUGCAAAACAGAGCCACUGUCCCCUCGCUGGGUUUCUGCCAUAUUGCACUUUGUGUCACUGCGCUCGUUUGUUUCCUCAAAUUGUAGUCACAGAGUCAUUGCAGUCACUUUUUUGGUUUCUUCAGCUACUGUACAUAUAUAUCGUCCCAUAAUGUCAAAGGUAAUUUUCAACAUCUAAAACAAACUAAAUUGUUCGAAUUCAUUCAUCACUGCUGCCAUCUAUAGCAAAAGUUAAAUAACAUUAUUGUCAUAUCUAUUUGCAGCACAAUAUAAAAAUGGUAUUUGUUCAACAAAAUAUUAAAGUCUGAAAUAAAAUAUUGUAUAAUAAGUAUUAUUUCAGAAUAAAAAUAUGUCUAUGUUUUAUUCUCAUAUCUAA
rnacentral:lncRNA from 1 species